rnacentral:rRNA from 1 species
AGUGAACGCUGGCGGCAGGCCUAACACAUGCAAGUCGAACGGCAGCACAGUAAGAGCUUGCUCUUACGGGUGGCGAGUGGCGGACGGGUGAGGAAUACAUAGGAAUCUACUUUUUCGUGGGGGAUAACGUAGGGAAACUUACGCUACUACCGCAUACGAUCUACGGGAGAAAGCAGGGGAUCUUCGGACCUUUCGCGAUUGAAUGAGCCGAUGUCGGAUUGGCUCGUUGGCGGGGUAAAGGCCCACCAAGGCAACGAUACGUAGCUGGUCUGAGAAGAUGAGCAGCCACACGGGAACUGGAACACCGUCCAGGCUCCUUAGGGAAGCAACAGAUGGGAAUAUUUGCCAAAGGGGGCAAACCUUAACCAGCCAUAGCGCGUGGGUGGAGAAGGCCUUCCGGUUGUUAAAACCUUUUGUUUGGGAAAAAAAGCAGCCGCUUAAUACCACGCUGUUCUGACGGUAACCUAAGAAGAAGCACCGGCUAACUUCGUG